rnacentral:lncRNA from 1 species
UUUAGUGUAUCACUUACUUACUGCUUCCCUUUAUCCAGUUUUCUUGAUGUGAUCAAUGUCCAGGUUUCUUCAUGUGUGGUUCCCUCAUUCUCAAUACUACUUUUCGUCUCCUAUGUUGGUUUGUUAUAAGUUUCAUGGUUAAUAUCCGAUGUUGGAUUAGUAGUCACAGGUUUCCACACCUUCGAUGUCAUUUGUUUCUGAUUUGGGAUAACCUUUUGGACAGAGCAGUCGUGCCUAUUCUCAAACAAGAUUGACAAUACUUUGGUUUCCAUUCAUAUUCAAUUUUUUGUUCUAAUAUCUUACCGUUGUGAUCCUUGAUACAUACCUUCUCUCUUGGCUUUUGUGCGAUGUCUACCUCCACUUGAACCCGGGCAUAUGAGACUCUCAACUUUGUUGCCGUACAUUCAUCCGGCGCUCAUAAUUUUUGAAAUGCUUCUUUCCCCCAUAAGUGAAGUGACAAAUUAGGCAAUGUAACCCAUAAUGGAAGAGCUCAAAGUAAAUCUUCUUUGAUUUCAAAGUUCGUUGACGAACUUCAUAUGAAUAGUGGUUUGCCAUAUAUGAUGUAAGGUCCUUGGGCCAUGAUUUACUCCUUUUCUUCUUGAUUUUUGAAUCUCAUUAUGAAGUAACCAACAUCAUUGUAAUAUAGCUCUGGAAGUGAAACAAAGCUCCAAAUUUUCUCCAUGAAUUCCUUUACAACAUUCAUAGAAAUGUUAUCCCCUAGGGCAAAUAGAAUCAGUGUGUUAUCCCAAAACUCCAUGCUACAUCUAAUUCCUCAAUUAUAACUCCAAUCUCUCCAUUUACCAAUAUUGGAGCAACAAAAUUGACGGUCAUUUAUGUUCCCUUUUAUGAUCUUCACCCAAGGUUUGACAUUAGUCUCCAGCUCUUUCACCCUCCUCGACAGCAUGAUUAUUUUUCUCUUAACUAUUAAUUCUAUGUCAUCACCUACUUUUUCGAUCGAUUGGUGCCUCUCUUAGUCAAAGUCAUCGGAACCCUAACAGAGGUAUAAUGUGGGCAAGAAGUCAAAUUCUCCUAAACAAGUCAGUCCUAAUAGGAUUGGGGCUUAAAAGGAACAGGCCAAAGUCCAUCCUUUUGUGUUUUGGAUACAAUAUGUUAAUAAAUAAUUAAACUUAAUAUUCAUUUAAGAAGUUGUUAAGUAAAAUAGACCAAUUAAAUAUUUAUUUAUAUAUAAUAGUAUAUAUUUUUUUAAAGAAAAAAUAAAUUAGAGAUAAAAUAAAAUAAAAAUAUUAUUUUGGAGAGAUAUAGUAUAAAUAGAAUAAUUUUUUAAAAAUUUAUAAUUAAACAAGUCUACCAGAUAAUCUGCUGCCCAUAAAAGUUAGGGCUAAUGGCUUUAUAGGACACUAAAAGAAUCAUGAAAAUAUAAAUUCUAAUUUUUAAGUCUAAUACCUAUGAAACUCCAACAAGCGACACACAUAUAAUACGUAUCAUAUACGUUUUUAAAGUGUUCAACUAAAAUAAAAAAUUUAAUUGUUACAGACAUGGAUACGAUACUUUAUUUCAAAUAAAAGACACAACCCAACUUAUAAAAUUUCAAAGAUUUUUUAAAAGUAAAAACUCAACUCAAAAGUUUUUAAAAUUUAUGAAUAUCAAUUAUCAUGUUUGAAAAUAUUAAAAAGAAUUUUUGAUUAUUUUAUCUUAAAUAAAUAUAGACUUUAUUUUUUAUUUUAAACUUUUUAUAAAUUUUGUCCAUAAAUUAUAUUAUUAUAUUAAUAUAUUAAAUAAAUUCAGCAUGGGCGUGUCCGGGGUCCUCGUCCGGGGUUCAUAGUCUAAUACCUAUAAUUUUUCAAGCAAAUACAGGUCCAUUUUGACGACUAUGAAAUGAAAAUUAAAAAGAUUUGUAAAAGUUUAUUUUAUAAAUGAAGGGUAGUGUUUCUCAAUCCCAACUAAAUUAAUAUUUUCUUCCGUAUUUAUUUUUCAAAAGCAUAAUUCUAAACUCUAAUAAGCUAUUAGAUAUAAAAAAGCUUGUAAGACGUUUUAGUUAGAGAGUCACACAUGAUGUGAAUGACUUUAGUUAUACAGACACUAAAUCUGCAAGAAAAAAAUAUUACCAGAGGAUAACUAACAUCAUAAGAGUGUGUUAUAAAUCGUGCGUAAGAAACUAUAGUAUCACCUAUAUUAAGAAAUGGUAGCAGAACAAAAUUACAAAUAAACACUCUUGUUCAAUGGACGUCAAAUGCAACAUUUACAGUAAGAUAAGCUUUGAAUAUAAAAGCAAUUACUUGGAGAGUGAAAAAUCAGUUAGCAGUUAAUAACAUAAUCAUGAAGACACGAUCCAGAUACCCGGCACAGCAACACUAGUAUGCUGCUGCACCAAGAGAACCAACACUAGAUCUGUGAAACCAACCAUAUCUCAGAAGUACCUGCUUUAGUCAUCACUUUCUUAACAACCCAAGUUUUAACUAACAAAACCCCUUAUUAUUGCUACAAAAUGAAGAGUGAUGAAUGAAGUGUAUGAUAAUGAUGUAAUGGCGUUUGGAGGCGGAAAAGUGAUUAAAAGCACAAAAUCCGUACUAUGAUGCCAUAUAUUUGAUGUAAAGGGCAUGAAAGACAGGGCACCCCAUAGAGAACCUACGGGUAUUUCAGAGCCACAGAUUAAUACUGCUCUCCCCUAUAUGCUUCACCCCUAAACUUCAUCACUCACGAUUCACAGUUUUGAAAUUAAAUUUGAAGAAAAUGAAAUGUUUCUUAUCUAAUGAAAAUGCAAACUUGCAAAGUGUAGGCUGCGGAGGAUGAAACCCUAGCAUCGUGAAGAUGCUGUGCCUCUGCGUAUUUAUAAUACGACGGUGGGUAAUAAAUUUGAUGUGUUAAGCCUCUCUUGUUGGGCUUGGACCAAAUUCAAUUGGGCCUAUAAAUGUCUUUCAUGGAGAAUCUACUGGCACCGUCAACAUGUACCUACCACCCCCAUAUAUCCCUUCAUCAACUGUAUCUAUUGAUAAAAGAUACAUGCAAACUACGAAU